rnacentral:snoRNA from 1 species
ACCCUCCAGAUUCCUUAUCCAUUAGCCCUAAACACUGAUCCGAGUGGUUAUAAAAGGAGGAAAAGCAAGGUUGAAACGGACUUACAUUCCUCUGUGAUACACAAACUCAUUUUUUUAAAAAGG